CCUACGGGUGGCAGCAGUGAGGAAUAUUGGUCAAUGGGCGUAAGCCUGAACCAGCCAAGUCGCGUGAGGGAUGAAGGUUCUAUGGAUCGUAAACCUCUUUUAUAAGGGACUAAGGUGUGGGACUUGUCCUGUUUUGUAUGUACCUUAUGAAUAAGUAUCGGCUAACUCCGUGCCAGCAGCCGCGGUAAUACGGAGGAUCCGAGCGUUAUCCGGAUUUAUUGGGUUUAAUGGGAGCGUAGGCGGCCUUGUAAGUCAGCUGUGAAAGUCUGUGGCUCAACCAGAGAAUUGCCGUUGAAACUGGGAGGCUUGAGUAUGGUUGAGGCAGGCGGAAUGCGUGGUGUAGCGGUGAAAUGCUUAGAUAUCACGCAGAACCCCGAUUGCGAAGGCAGCCUGCCAAGCCAUGACUGACGCUGAUGCACGAAAGCGUGGGGAUCAAACAGGAUUAGAUACCCGUGUAGUC
rnacentral:rRNA from 1 species